AGCAGUCGCCGCGGGAACACGUAGGGUGCAAGCGUUAAUCGGAAUUACUGGGCGUAAAGCGUGCGCAGGCGGUUAUAUAAGACAGAUGUGAAAUCCCCGGGCUCAACCUGGGAACUGCAUUUGUGACUGUAUAGCUAGAGUACGGCAGAGGGGGAUGGAAUUCCGCGUGUAGCAGUGAAAUGCGUAGAUAUGCGGAGGAACACCGAUGGCGAAGGCAAUCCCCUGGGCCUGUACUGACGCUCAUGCACGAAAGCGUGGGGAGCAAACAGGAUUAGAGACCCCGUAGUCCCUGUCUCUUAUACA
rnacentral:rRNA from 1 species